rnacentral:rRNA from 1 species
UACGAAGGGGGCUAGCGUUGUUCGGAUUUACUGGGCGUAAAGCGCACGUAGGCGGAUCGUUAAGUCGGGGGUGAAAUCCUGGAGCUCAACUCCAGAACUGCCUUCGAUACUGGCGAUCUUGAGUCCGGAAGAGGUGAGUGGAACUCCUAGUGUAGAGGUGGAAUUCGUAGAUAUUAGGAAGAACACCGGUGGCGAAGGCGGCCAUCUGGACCGAGACUGACGCUGAGGCGCGAAAGCGUGGGGAGCAAACAGG